AUGGCAGGAUCACAGAGGGGUGCCUGCCACCUGCAGCCCAGCCUCACACUUUUCUCUUCAGCGUCUUCUUCAAGGUAUUUCCAGUUGCCCACCCUGGACUGUUUCAGAAUGAGGAGGACACCUGGAGGAAUCUACAGGUGCAUAGACCAAUUUGCAAAAGAACCUGUGAGCCAACAUUAUUAUCUCAGCUGGAAGAAUUAAUAAGCAACACAGUCACCCAAGAAGUAUUUACUGAGCACCUACUGAGCUAGGGGGCAAACGGCUCUGACAAGUCUCUGUUCUCAAGGCUGGAGUGCAGUGGCACGAUCUUGGCUCACUGCCAGCUCCGCCUCCUGGGUUCACGCCAUUCUCCUGCCUCAGCCUCCCCAGUAG
rnacentral:lncRNA from 1 species